rnacentral:rRNA from 1 species
UACGUAGGGGGCUAGCGUUGUCCGGAAUCAUUGGGCGUAAAGCGCGCGUAGGCGGCCCGGUAAGUCCGCUGUGAAAGUCAAAGGCUCAACCUUUGAAUGUCAGCGGAUACUGCCUGGCUAGAGUCCGGAAGAGGCGAGUGGAAUUCCUGGUGUAGCGGUGGAAUGCGCAGAUAUCAGGAGGAACACCAACGGCGAAGGCAGCUCGCUGGGACGGUACUGACGCUGAGGCGCGAAAGCGUGGGGAGCGAACAGG